rnacentral:rRNA from 1 species
GUAGGUGGCAAGCGUUGUCCGGAUUUAUUGGGCGUAAAGCGCGCGCAGGCGGUUCUUUAAGUCUGAUGUGAAAGCCCACGGCUCAACCGUGGAGGGUCAUUGGAAACUGGAGAACUUGAGUACAGAAGAGGAAAGCGGAAUUCCACGUGUAGCGGUGAAAUGCGUAGAGAUGUGGAGGAACACCAGUGGCGAAGGCGGCUUUCUGGUCUGUAACUGACGCUGAGGCGCGAAAGCGUGGGGAGCAAACAGGAUUAGAUACCCUGGUAGUCCACGCCGUAAACGAUGAGUGCUAAGUGUUAGGGGGGUUUCCGCCCCCCUUAGUGCUGCAGCUAACGCAUUAAGCACUCCGCCUGGGAGUACGGCCGCAAGGCUG